rnacentral:rRNA from 1 species
UACAGAGGGGGCGAGCGUUGUUCGGAAUUACUGGGCGUAAAGGGCGCGUAGGCGGCCAACUAAGUCAGACGUGAAAUCCCUCGGCUCAACCGGGGAACUGCGUCUGAUACUGGAUGGCUAGAGGUUGGGAGAGGGAUGCGGAAUUCCAGGUGUAGCGGUGAAAUGCGUAGAUAUCUGGAGGAACACCCGUGGCGAAAGCGGCUCUCUGGACCGGUAUUGACGCUGAGGUGCGAAAGCGUGGGGAGCAACAGG